rnacentral:lncRNA from 1 species
AAUAAAAGCAAGUCUCAUUACUUUUCAAGGGGAGUGUAGAAGCGAUUAGUCUCUGAUGAUAAUAAGGGGGUACCCCCCAUGUAAAACUGCCACAGCUCUCAGAAGUGAGACUUUAGCUCCUUACAAAUGCUGAGCAGACGUGAACACCCUCAACCAGCUCCCCCAUGGAUUCCUGCUUUGUCUCCCUCCCCAAGUGAGGGGACAGGGUGUUUCCAAACUUUAAAAGAAUCCUGUUAUCCUCAGGCCUCUGCCUUGUAGGAAGAUCCUUUCUUUUAAUAAAUUA